AAUUUAUGCGUCUGCUAGAGCAAGGUUUCACGACUCAGCCAUGAUGGAGCAAGAGUCAAAGCCUACGUCCGUGACUGCGGGUCUGCUAGCGCAACAAGGUUGAGAAUUUGCCCCCAACUGGUCGGCUUAAACAUCUGCUUACUGUGGACAGGAUCGGUGGUGAAUUGUUCAUGGGCUUCGUUGAAGGCUUGCCUCUCUCCGGUGGUUUCAACAUGAUCUCUGUCGUCCUGGAUCGACUUGGUGAGUACACACACUUCUGAACCUCUACAAUAUACACAACAUAAGAUGAAGCCGUGGGCAGAUCGCAAGAAGCACGCCGUGGAAUUCACUCAUGGCGACUGGGUCUACCUCUGGUUCCGUUCAUAUCGCCCUCGAGUCUUCAGCACGAUGGCCCC
rnacentral:lncRNA from 1 species